GCUUUCGUUCCACCGGCACCACAUUUGCUCAGGCCAAUCUACACCCCAUGGCCAUUAAAAGUUAUUCAAAUCAUGACGCUGCACCCCACGGUUUAGGUUCUAGGGGGCGCCAAAGAUAACCCUAAAAUCCACAUAUUUAAAAGUCUUAUAACUUUUUAUUUUUGCCCUCACUGGCCUCCAAGUUUUCUAGGAUGAUGCAAUGUCCAGCCAUCAACACAUUUGUGAAGGAAUUUUUACUCCCCAAAAGAGCGCCCCCCCAUGGCAGGAGAAAAAAGUCCAUUUUUUCUUGUCCCCUAAGGUGAAAAUACACAUUGUUGAGUGUCACGCCUGUACGCUUUGUCAAAAUGACACAAAAAUUGACACACACAUGUAUCUCAAUAAGAUCUACAAAAAAGUCAGUGCGCGCGUAUCUGUCAAAUGUACGGUUAAAGGGUUAUUCCGCAAUUUUUUGCCGAUUCGCACACAUUGGAAUUUCGCUAACUCCUCCUAAGGCUUUCGUUCCACCGGCACCACAUUUGCUCAGGCCAAAUUACACCCCAUGGCCAUUAAAAGUUAUUCAAAUCAUGACGCUGCACCCCACGGUUUACGUUCUAGGGGGCGCCAAAGAUAACCCAAAAAUCCACAUUUUUAAAAGUCUUAUAACUUUUUAUUUUUGUCCUCACUGGCCUCCAAGUUUUCUAGGAUGAUGCAAUGUCCAGCCAUCAACACAUUUGUGAAGGAAUUUUUACUCCCUAAAAGAGUGCCCCCCCAUGGCAGGAGAAAAAAGUCCAUUUUUUCUUGUCCCCUAAGGUGAAAAUACACAUUGUUGACUGUCACGCCUGUACGCUUUGGCAAAAUGACACAAAAAUUGACAAUCAUGUGUAUCUCAAUUAGAUCUACGAAAAAGUCAAAGAGCGCGUAUCUGUAUAAUGUACGGUAAAAGGGCUAUUUUGCAUUUUUUGCCGAUUCGCACACAUUGGAAUUUCGCUAACUCCUCCUAAGGCUUUCGUCCCACUGACACCAAAUUUGCUCAGGCCAAUCUACACUCCAUGGCCAUUCAAAGUUGUAAAAAUCAUGACGCUGCACCCCACGGUUUACGUUUUAGGGGGCGCCAAAGAUGACCCAAAUAUACAUUACAGUAGACAAAGUAGUUUUGCCCACUGAGUGGCGCCAAAGGGACUUGUCUGUGGAGUCUGUGAGUCACUAUUGGCCGUUUUUGACUACUUUAGAUUUUACCUUUAUAUUUCCUCUUACAAAAUUUUUACCUUGCCUUGCCUGGUAUCAUUUUUUUCAGCACAACCUCACCUGUGUCAAUUUACAGUUAUUUUAUCAUUUUGACAUACUAUAUUUACACAUUGGACCCAAAUUCACACACAAAACAUAAAAUCCGAGUGGAAAAAAGUAACGUUUUUACUGUGAAAACCACAAAUAUGUGUGAUGAACUGUUUUUAAAACUUAAACUUCAAAUAAAAAUUGUAAACUUCAAAACAUAUGCAAAUUUUUAACAAAGAACAUAGUAAUUUACCUCUAUUGACAUCAAAAUGCAGGCAAUGGCCCAGGUGUUCUUUGUAAAAUUAUUUACAAAACACUGUAUAGUCUCACAAAUGUCACUUUUCAUUUAUGCCACUACAAAAAAACAUGAUGUAAAUGAUGCAUGAUGUAAAACAUGAUGUAAAAAACUUGUGUAGAUCCUCCUCUAUGUUAGUCCAUGUGUAAUUUUUCCAUAAUUCUUUGUUUUUUGCAGCAUUUUUGUUAGUGUAACUGCAGAUUGUGCUGACAGUGUCUAUGGCAAAAAAAAAAAAAAAAAACUGAAAAUGCCUCAACAUGAACCCCUGGUGGUCUCUGAGGGUGAAACCUGCUAACUGCUGCAGCUCUGUCAGCUUCAGUCUCCCAUGCAGAGCUCGGAGCGCAUGUGUGGCUCUGCACCCUUAGCAGCGUUGCUAACUCCUCAGUAAGGAAAGCCUGCUUCAUGUCAGAGUCUCUAAACUCCAGAAGAAGUCGAUAAAAGUCACUUUCUUUCUAAAAAAAAGGCGUUAGGGGGUCUGAAAAGUCAUUGAAUCUAACAACAAAGUCGCUAGGUUUGCAACUACGUGUCCCAGACUGCAUCCCUGCUGAGAGUCCCUCCCUCCCUUCUCAUAUUGCAGGAAGAACGUAAGUUCCCGCCCCUUGUCAAUCAGUCACCAUAUAAUUUUGGAUUGGUUGCUGUGGUGAAGUUUUCCACCAAUAGGAGAGAUGUUGUGGUGUGUUUUUUUUUUCCUUUGGCAAGCCUUUUCCGCCUGUAAGACCUGUCGCUAAUGUCUGCAUGCUAUGUUUUCCUGUCUCAUACAGCGCGAUCGAGCGCCGAACGUGAUCAAAAUAAGCAGAAAACAAGUAUCGCGGACAUAAUUUAUCAUAACUCUGGUUUUAUUUGGCCUAUCAACACAAUUUAAAAACUGGUAUAUAGGUUGAGGUCCUCACUUUUGAGAUAAAUUGAAACGGAGAGUCAACGAGGCUCCGUCUUGCAGCUACAUCCGGUUAAAUAUGUCAUGUGACUUGAACGCACACACACACACACACACACACACACACACAGACACACACACACACACACACACACACACACACUCAGAGUCUGGUUUUUAGCACCUGCAAAAACAUGCUAUUUACAUAUUUGACAAGAAUGCAGAGGCUCCUUUUGCCCCUGAAAAAAAUCAAAUUUCAAACACAACUUGACUGGUCAUUUCUCCAAAAGACAACCAUGAAGCUCCAUCCAAACCUGAAGCAGGCAGUUGGUGCAUGUGUACAGUAACCUGAGGGGAGUGAGGUGACUGCUUCUGAGGAGAACAUGAGCAGUGAAGAUUCACCUUAGAGCUAGAACAGAGACGUGCACAUGAUUAUACAGGGGCAGGGGCUCAAGUUUUUUCCAGUUGUUUAUACAAUAUGGAAAUUAAUGUGAAAUUAAAAAACAAAGUAUUAAUAGAAAGGUAAUGACUGUCCUGUGUAGGUGACAGUAAUAUCCAAUAGGCUAGGCACUCACGAGGCUGGCUGUGGCAAGUGUAAGUGAAAGCAACACGCACUGGCAGGAAGAACAGCAAACGCAGAUGAAGGAAAAGGGUCUUUGCAGUGAUGGGCGUUACCAGAGAGGGCGAUGGCCAGAGGACACAAAUGGGACGGGGAGGCAGCGCGUUGGGGGGGGGGGGCGCGACACAGCUCGGGCCCGCCAGUGCCCCAACGGGGUCCUAGUUAUUAUUUUUCUGCCCCUUUGAACUGGAAAAUGGCCCACUUCCCACUGGUGAAAAGUCAUGAAAUUUGGCAGGACGACCGGGCCUGGUGAAAAAUUCGAUAUUCUGAAGUCGCCCAAAAAAUCAAAUGCAAAAUGGCUCCAUAGCGCCCCCUAAGGUGAAAAAUUCACAUGAUUGAGUGUCACGCCUGUACGCUUUGUCAAAAUGACACAAAAUUUGACACACACGUGUAUCUCAAUAAGAUCUACAAAAAAGUCAGUGCGGGCGUAUCUGUCAAAUGUAUGGUUAAAGGUUUAUUUCGCAUUUUUUGCCGAUCCGCACACAUUGGAAUUUCGCUAACUCCUCCGAAGGUUUUCGUUCCACCGGCACCACAUUUGCUCAGGCCAAUCUACACCCCAUGGCCAAUAAAAGUUGUACAAAUCAUGACGCUGCACCCCACGGUUUACGUUCUAGGGGGCGCCAAAGAUAACCCAAAAAUCCACAGUCUUAAAAGUCUUAUAACUUUUUAUUUUUGUCCUCACUGGCCUCCAAGUUCUCUAGGAUGAUGCAAUGUCCAGCCAUCAACACAUUUGUGAAGGAAUUUUUACUCGCCAAAAGAGCGCCCCCCCAUGGCAGGAGAAAAAUGUCAAUUUUUUCUUGUCUCCUAAGGCGAAAAUACACAUCGUUGACUGUCACGCCUUUACGCUUUGUCAAAAUGACACAAAAUUUGACACACACAUGUAUCUCAAUAAGAUCUACAAAAAAGUCAGUGCGGGCGUAUCUGUCAAAUGUACGGUUAAAGGGUUAUUUCGCAUUUUUUGCCGAUCCGCACACAUUGGAAUUUCGCUAACUCCUCCGAAGGCUUUCGUUCCAACGGCACCACAUUUGCUCAGGCCAAUCUACACCCCAUGGCCAUUAAAAGUUGUACAAAUCAUGACGCUGCACCCCACGGUUUACGUUCUAGGGGGCGCCAAAGAUAACCCAAAAAUCCACAGUCUUAAAAGUCUUAUAACUUUUUAUUUUUGUCCUCACUGGCCUCCAAGUUCUCUAGGAUGAUGCAAUGUCCAGCGAUCAACACAUUUGUGAAGGAAUUUUUACUCGCCAAAAGAGCGCCCCCCAUGGCAGGAGAAAAAAGUCCAUUUUUUCUUGUCUCCUAAGGCGAAAAUACACAUUGUUGACUGUCACGCCUUUACGCUUUGUCAAAAUGACACAAAAUUUGACACACACAUGUAUCUCAAUAAGAUCUACGAAAAAGUCAAUGCGAGCGUAUCUGUUCAAUGUACGGUUAAAGGGCUAUUUCGCAUUUUUUGCCGAUUCGCACACAUUGGAAUGUGGCUAACUCCUCCUAAAGCUUUUGUCCCAUCGGCUUCAAAUUUGCUCAGGCCAAUCUACACCCCAUGGCCAUUAAAAGUUGUACAAAUCAUGACGCUGCACCCCACGGUUUACGUUCUAGGGGGUGCCAAAGAGGACCCAAAUAUCCACAUUUUUAAAAGUCUUAUAACUUUUUAUUUUUGUCCUCACUGGCCUCCAAGUUUUCUAGGAUGAUGCAAUGUCCAGCCAUCAACACAUUUGUGAAGGAAUUUUUUCUCCCCAAAAGAGCGCCCCCCCAUGGCAGGAGAAAAAGUCAAGUUUUUCCUGCCCAUCGCUCAAUGGCUCAAAAGCAUCGCUCUCUCGGCAAAACCGAAAGGAGGAGCAACUUGCCAUUUGGAUAUAUACUAGCUGUGUUUGUGCCCUCACUCAUGGUCCAGACUUUUUUCAAAAAGGACAUGGAGUUUGUCUGCAGCGAGCGUUUUGGUAGAAACUGCGCCUCCCAUUCAUUAUAAUGGUAAAUGACCACAGACAAGUGCGCACACCAUCUUUGGACCUUGAGUGUGACGCGAUCAAGAGGGGUAGGCGGUCGCGCUGGGGGCGGGCGCGACACGGCUCGGGCCCGCCAGUGCCCCAACGGGGCCCUAGUUAUUAUUAUUAUUUUUCCUCCGCUUUAAACUGGAAAAUGGCCCACUUCCCACUGGCGAAAACUCAGGAAAUUUGGCAGGACGACCGGGCCUGGUGAAAAAUUCGAUAUUCUGAAGUCGCCCAAACAAUAAAAUACAAAAUGGCUCCAUAGCGCCCCCUAAGGUGAAAAUUCACACUAUUGACUGUCACGCCUGUACGCUUUGUCAUAUUGACACAAAAAUUGACACACACAUGUAUCUCAAUAAGAUCUACAAAAAAGUCAGUGCGGGCGUAUCUGUCAAAUGUACGGUUAAAGGGGUUAUUUCGCAUUUUUUGCAGAUCCGCACACAUUGGAAUUUCGCUAACUCCUCCGAAGGCUUUCGGUCCACCGGCACCACAUUUGCUCAGGCCAAUCUACACUCCAUGGCCAUUCAAAGUUGUACAAAUCAUGAUGCUGCACCCCAUGGUUUAGGUUCUAGGGGGCGCCAAAAAUAACCCUAAAAUCCACAUUCUUAAAAGUUUUAUAACUUUUUAUUUUUGCCCUCACUGGCCUCCAAGUUUUCUAGGAUGAUGCAAUGUCCAGCCAUCAACACAUUUGUGAAGGAAUCUUUACUCCCCAAAAGAGCGCCCCCCCAUGGCAGGACAAAAAAGUCAAUUUUUUCUUGUCCCCUAAGGUGAAAAUACACAUUGUUGAAUGUCACGCCUGUACGCUUUGUCAUAUUGACACAAAAUUUGACAAUCACGUGUAUCUCAAUAAGAUCUACGAAAAAGUCAAUGCGCGCGUAUCUGUAAAAUGUACGGUUAAAGGGCUAUUUCGCAUUUUUUGCCGAUUCGCACACAUAGGAAUGUGGCUAACUCCUCCUAAGGCUUUCGUCCCACUGACACCAAAUUUGCUCAGGCCAAUCUACACCCCAUGGCCAUUCAAAGUUGUAAAAAUCAUGACGCUGCACCCCAUGGCUUACGUUCUAGGGGGCGCCAAAGAGGACCCAAAUAUCCACAUUUUUAAAAGUCUUAUAACUUUUUAUUUUUGUCCUCACUGGCCUCCAAGUUUUCUAGGAUGAUGCAAUGUCCAGCCAUCAACACAUUUGUGAAGGAAUUUUUCUCCCCAAAAGAGCGCCCCCCAUGUCAGGAGAAAAAGUCAAGUUUUUCCUGCCCAUCGCUCAAUGGCUCAAACGCAUCGCUUUCUCGGCAAAACCGAAAGGAGGAGCAACUUGCCAUUUGGAUAUAUACUAGCUGUGUUUGUGCCCUCACUCAUGGUCCAGACUUUUUUCAAAAAGGACAUGGAGUUUGUCUGCAGCGAGUGUUUUGGUAGAAACUGCGCCUCCCAUUCAUUAUAAUGGUAAAUGACCACAGACAAGUGCGCACACCAUCUUUGGACCUUGAGUGUGACGCGAUCGGGAGGGGUAGGCGGUCGCGCUGGGGGCGGCGUGACACGGCUCGGGCCCGCCAGUGCCCCACCGGGGCCCUAGUUCGUUAUUAUUUUUCCUCCGCUUUAAACUGGAAAAUGGCCCACUUCCCACUGGCGAAAACUCAGGAAAUUUGGCAGGACGACCGGGCCUGGUGAAAAAUUCGAUAUUCUGAAGUCGCCCAAACAAUAAAAUGCAAAAUGGCUCCAUAGCGCCCCCUAAGGUGAAAAUUCACAUGACGGCUGUACGCUUUGUCAUAUUGACACAAAAAUUGACACACACAUGUAUCUCAAUAAGAUCUAUAAAAAAGUCAGUACGGGCGUAUCUGUCAAAUGUACGGUUAAUGGGUUAUUUUGCAUUUUUUGCAGAUCUGCACACAUUGGAAUUUCGCUAACUCCUCCGAAGGCUUUCCGUUCGACCGGCACCACAUUUGCGCAGGCCAAUCUACCUCCCAUGGCCAUUAAAAGUUGUACAAAUCAUGACGAUGCACCCCACGGUUUACGUUCUAGGGGGCGCCAAAGAUAACCCAAAAUCCACAUUCUUAAAAGUCUUAUAACUUUUUAUUUUUGUCCUCACUGCCCUCCAAGUUUUCUAGGAUGAUGCAAUGUCCAGCCAUCAACACAUUUGUGAAGGAAUUUUUACUCCCCAAAAGAGCGCCCCCCCAUGGCAGGAGAAAAAAGUCAAUUUUUUCUUGUCCCCUUACAUGAAAAUACACAUUGUUGAGUGUCAUGCCUGAACGCUUUGUCAUAUUGACACAAAAAUUGACAAUCACGUGUAUCUCAAUUAGAUCUACGAAAAAGUCAAAAAGCGCGUAUCUGUAUAAUGUACGGUUAAAGGGCUAUUUCGCAUUUUUUGCCGAUUCGCACACAUUGGAAUGUGGCUAUCUCCUCCUAAGGCUUUCGUCCCACCGAUACCAAAUUUGCUCAGGGCAAUCUACACCCCAUGCCCAUUCAAAGUUGUAAAAAUCAUGACGCUGCACCCCACGGUUUACGUUCUAGGGGGCACCAAAGAUGACCCAAAAAUCCACAUUCUUAAAAGUCAUUUUGGCCACUGCAGGAGUACAGAGUACUGCAGUUCUAGGGGGCGCCAAAGAUGACCCAAAAAUCCACAUUCUUAAAAGUCUUUUUGGCCACUGCAGGAGUACAGAGUACUGCAGGAUACACACACAUACACACACACACACACACACACACACACACACACACACACACACACACACACUCAGAGUCUGUUUUUUAGCACCUGCAAAAACAUGCUGUUUACAUAUUUGACAAGAAUGCAGAGGCUUCCUUUUGCCCCUGAAAAAAAUCAGAUUUCAAACACAACUUGACUGUUCAUUUCUCCAAAAGACAACCAUGAAGCUCUAUCCAAACCUGAAGCAGAUAGUUGGUGCAUGUGUACAGUAACCUGAGGGGAGUGAGGUGACUAUUUCUGAGGAGAACAUGAGCAGUGAAGAUUCACCUUGGAGCUAGAACAGGGACGUGCACAUGAUAAUACAGGGGCAGGGGCUCAAGUUUUUUCCAGUCAUUUAUACAAUAUGGAAAUUAAUGUGAAAUUAAAACACAAAUAUGUGUGAUGAACUGUUUUUAAAACUUAAACUUCAAAUAAAAAUUGUAAACUUCAAAACAUAUGCAAAUUUUUAACAAAGAACAUAGUAAUUUACCUCUAUUUACAUCAAAAUGCAGGCAAUGGCCCAGGCGUUCUUUGUAAAAUUAUUUACAAAACACUGUAUAGUCUCACAAAUGUCACUUUUUAUUUAUGCCACUACAAAAAAACAUGAUGUAAAUGAUGCAUGAUGUAAAACAUGAUGUAAAAAACUUGUGUAGAUCCUCCUCUAUGUCAGUCCAUGUGUAAUUUUUCCAUAAUUCUUUGUUUUUUGCAGCAUUUUUGUUAGUGUAACUGCAGAUUGUGCUGACAGUCUAUGGCAAAAAAAACAAAAACUGAAAAUGCCUCAACAUGAACCCCUGGUGGUCUCUGAGGGUGAAACCUGCUAACUGCUGCAGCUCUGUCAGCUUCAGUCUCCCAUGCAGAGCUCGGAGCGCAUGUGUGGCUCUGCACCCUUAGCAGCGUUGCUAACUCCUCAGUAAGGAAAGCCUGCUUCAUGUCAGAGUCUCUAAACUCCAGAAGAAGUCGAUAAAAGUCCCUUUCUUUCUAAAAAAAGUCGUUAGGGGGUCUGAAAAGUAAUUGAAUCUAACAACAAAGUCGCUAGGUUUGCAACUACGUGUCCCAGACUGCAUCCCUGCUGAGAGUCCCUCCCUCCCUUCUCAUGUUGCAGGAAGAACGUAAGCGCCCGCCCCUUGUCAAUCAGUCACCAUAUAAUUUUGGAUUGGUUGUUGUGGUGAAGUUUUCCACCAAUAGGAGAGAUGUUGUGGUGUGUUUUUUUUUUCUUUUGGCAAGCCUUUUCCGCCUGUAAGACCUGUCGCUAAUGUGUGCAUGCUAUGUUUUCCUGUCUCAUACAGCGUGAUCGAGCGCCGAACGUGAUCAAAAUAAGCAGAAAAAAAGUAUCGCGGACAUAAUUUAUCAUAACUCUGGUUUUAUUUGGCCUAUCAACACAAUUUAAAAACUGGUAUAUAGGUUGAGGUCCUCACUUUUGAGAUAAGUUGAAACGGAGAGUUAACGAGGCUCCGUCUUGCAGCUACAUCCGGUUAAAUAUGUCAUGUGACUUGAACGCACACAUAGACACACACACACACACACACACACACACACACACACACACACACACACACACACACACACUCAGAGUCUGGUUUUUAGCACCUGCAAAAACAUGCUAUUUACAUAUUUGACAAGAAUGCAGAGGCUCCUUUUGCCCCUGAAAAAAAUCAAAUUUCAAACACAACUUGACUGGUCAUUUCUCCAAAAGACAACCAUGAAGCUCCAUCCAAACCUGAAGCAGGCAGUUGGUGCAUGUGUACAGUAACCUGAGGGGAGUGAGGUGAGUGCUUCUGAGGAGAACAUGAGCAGUGAAGAUUCACCUUGGAGCUAGAACAGAGACAUGCACAUGAUUAUACAGGGGCAGGGGCUCAAGUUUUUUCCAGUCGUUUAUACAAUAUGGAAAUUAAUGUGAAAUUAAAACACAAAGUAUUAAUAGAAAGGUAAUGACUGUCCUGUGUAGGUGACAGUGAUAUCCAAUAGGCUAGGCACUCACGAGGCUGGCUGUGGCAAGUGUAAGUGAAAGCAACACGCACUGGCAGGAAGAACAGCAAACGCCGAUGAAGGAAAAGGGUCUUUGCAGUGAUGGGCGUUAACAGAGAGGGCGAUGGCCAGAGGACACAAAUGGGACGGGGAGGCAGCACGUUGGGGGGGGGGGGGGGGGAUGCGACACGGCUCGGGCCCGCCAGUGCCCCAACGGGGUCCUAGUUAUUUUUCCUCCGCUUUAAACUGGAAAAUGGCCCACUUCCCACUGGCGAAAACUCAUGAAAUUUGGCAGGACGACCGGGCCUGGUGAAAAAUUCGAUAUUCUGAAGUCGCCCAAACAAGAAAAUGCAAAAUGGCUCAAUAGCGCCCCCAAAGGUGAAAAUUCACACUAUUGACUGUCACGCCUGUACGCUUUGUCAUAUUGACACAAAAAUUGACACACACAUGUAUCUCAAUAAGAUCUACAAAAAAGUCAGUGCGGGCGUAUCUGUCAAAUGUACGGUUAAAGGGUUAUUUCGCAUUUUUUGCCGUUCCGCACACAUUGGAAUUUCGCUAACUCCUCCGAAGGCUUUCGUUCCACCAGCACUACAUUUGCUCAGGCCAAUCUACACCCCAUGGCCAUUGAAAGUUGUACAAAUCAUGACGCUGCACCCCACGGUUUACGUUCUAGGGGGCGCCAAAGAUAACCCACAAAUCCACAUUCUUAAAAAUCUUAUAACUUUUUAUUUUUGUCCUCAUUGGCCUCCAAGUUUUCUAGGAUGAUGCAAUGUCCAGCCAUCAACACAUUUGUGAAGGAAUUUUUACUCCCCAAAACAGCGCCCCCCCAUGGCAGGACAAAAAAGGCCAUUUUUUCUUGUCCCCUAAGGUGAAAAUACACAUUGUUCAGUGUCAUGCCUAUACGCUUUGUCAUAUUGACACAAAAUUUGACACACACGUGUAUCUCAAUAAGAUCUACGAAAAAGUCAAUGGGCACAUAUCUGUAAAAUGUACGGUUAAAGGGCUAUUUUGCAUUUUUUGCCGAUUCGCACACAUUGGAAUGUGGCUAACUCCUCCUAAGGCUUUCGUUCUACUGACACCAAAUUUGCUCAAGCCAAUCUACACCCCAUGGCCAUUCAAAGUUGUACAAAUCAUGACGCUGCACCCCACGGUUUAGGUUCUUGGGGGCGCCAAAGAUGACCCAAAUAUCCACAUUUUUAAAAGUCUUAUAACUUUUUAUUUUUGUCCUCACUGGCCUCCAAGUUUUCUAGGAUGAUGCAAUGUGCAGCCAUCAACACAUCUGUGAAGGAAUUUUUUCUCCCCAAAAGAGCCCCCCCCCAUGGCAGGAGAAAAAGUCAAGUUUUUCCAGCCCAUCGCUUAAUGGCUCAAACGCAUUGCUCUCCCGCUAAAACCAAAAGGAGGAGCAACUUGCCAUUUGGAUAUGUCCUAGCUGUGUUUGUGCCCUCACUCAUGGUCCAGACUUUUUUCAAAUAGGACAUGUAGUUUGUCUGCAGCGAGCGUUUUGGUAGAAACUGUGCCUCCCAUUCAUUAUAAUGGGAAAUGACCAAAGACAGGUGCGCACACCAUCUUUGGACCUUGACUUUGACGUCACAGUUUGAGAUACAAAUGUUAUUUGACCUCUGACCUUUGGUGGACACCCUAACCUUUCAACCCGCGAAAACGGCGUUUCAAUAGCUCUUACGGCUUUCCUACAAAUACACUUUGUUCAGCUACUCCUACUGUCCUUUAAGCUCUGCUUCUCAGAUCAUCAAGAGUGUGCACGUGUGUAAUGAGCGCAUAUUGAAUGUUAAUUAUGUUAAAUAUGUUAAUUAUUAGAAGAAAAAACAACAACAGUCCUUUUGGACAAAAUUUCUUUUUAUUACAGAAUUAGAAUAAUGGAAGCAUAGUCCAAGGAAACCAUUCAAGUGAUGUCAUACCUCAUAAUUUAUUGAGAUGUUGGCUAGUCUGGGCAUUUCUUCAUUCAUCAGGUUUCCUGCAUGCAUACUAACAGAGCACAUCAGUAGCAGUGAGUGAUAAGUAUGAGUGUGUCAUUGUGUAAGAAAGAAAGUGGUUUACUUACACAUCCAUAGAAAAUAGGUGGUUGAGCACAGCACGCAAACAAAGCUUUGCCACAACGGUUGAACUUCCCAAGUAGCUGAUACCAAGGUCACACAAUCAUGGUGAGCAAAGGUCAAACCAGGCCAGGCACUCACGAGGCUGGCUGUGGAAAGUGUAAGUGAAAGCAACACGCAAUGGCAGGAAGAACAGCAAACACCGAUGAAGGAAAAGGGUCUUUGCAGUGAUGGGCGUCACCAGAGAGGGCGAUGGCCAGAGGGCACGAAUGGGACGGGGAGGCGGUCGCGCUGGGGGCGGUGCGACGCGGCUCGGGCCC
rnacentral:lncRNA from 1 species